CUGUGGGAGCAGCAUCAAGCAAGACUUCGGGCAGUGAUUCUAACUAUUGCCCAUGAACACCGUGGCUGGGACGACUUUGACGAGGCAAUUUAUUACUUACGCAUAGAACACUGGCUGUGCUGAAACUGGGAGCGCAAACAGCCCCUUGUUUUCUAAUUUAGAGACUUGCAUCUUUUCGACACUCAACAGUAUCAAGACACUCUGCUACUACAGAUUGAUUUCCACCAUCAACACCUUUACCUCUUCCCGCCUGAAAAUAAAAUAUGAAAUAUAACAAGUAAAUCGCAAUCUACCUUGAAUCUUCUGGAGAGGGAAAGAAGAAACCAUGUCUAGACAAGGUGCUGGAAAGACCCAGGGAAGACACAGGGAAAUCAUCUUUUGGGAAUUUAUCUAAGAAGAACUUCUUAUG
rnacentral:antisense_RNA from 1 species